UUCUUUUUUUCCUUCAUCUUUAUUAACUUGGGUAUUUCUUAUUUAUAUUUCAAUUGUUAGUCCCUUUCCAGGUUUCCAGGCCAACAUCCCCCUAAUCCUUCCCCCUCCCCCUCUCUAGGGGUGUUCCCCUCUCCACCCUCCCCCCAUUGCCACCCUCCCCCAACAAUCAUGUUCACUGGGGGUUCAGUCUUGGCAGGACCAAGAGCUUCUCCUUCCACUGGUGCUCUUGCUAGGAUAUUCAUUGCUACCUAUGAGGUUGGAUCCAGGGUCAGUCCAUGUAUAGUCUUUGGGUAGUGGCUUAGUCCCUGCAAGCUCUGGUUGGUUGGCAUUGUUGUUCAUAUGGGGUCUCGAGCCCCUUCAAGCUCUUUCAGUCCUUUCUCUGAUUCCUUCAACGGGGUCCUGAGCAUUCCUUUUCUUAUAAGUUUGGGAAAUUUUGUGUAGUAAAGGCAAAUUAGUCAUCGCUGUGUGCUGUAUUAACAAAGUCUGGUAAGAUAAAUGCAGCCUCCAUGUCCCAAACAUUCCACCUAAAUAAAUGUAGAACUCUUUGAUUGAUUAAAUGUCUUUCACUGGCACCCCAUUAAAGAAAACACAUGUCUAAAAUACAUGUGUUAUUUCAUUAAAAAGCGACACGAUUAUAUUAUCUUUUAGUAUACUCAUAAGUUACAAAGUGACGGGUUGGUGACAUAUGCAAGGAAAACUCUGGAGCAGUUUUCCAGGACAUUACUUUUCUUUGUGUUAACUGCGUUGGCAGUCAUGCUGUUUAAAUGAGAAGUUUUUAUUUUGUAACUAGAAAAGGGUUUAAAAAAAUAGAACAAACUGUACUUUGAAACUUGAUAUUCUCUUUAAACCAAAAAACAUGAUUGUUAGAAGAUAUUAAGUAUCUUGUGAAGAAAGAAGAGAGCAUUGUGUUAAUAUGCAAAUUCCUGAUCCACACAAUUCAUCUGGUACAAAAAGCUUUGUUUCAGUUUUAUAAAAUGUGCAUAUCUGUCAUUUUAACCAAGUUUGUAAAAUAUCUAUUUUACCUGUGGUACAUACAUACAUACAUACAUACAUACAUACCAGUUGGUAGGCUUUUUGUAGAAGUUCUUGUAUGUACAUGUAUUGAGUUUUCACCAUGAAUAGAUGUUGAAUGUUAUAGGUGUUUUUCUACAUCAGUUGAUAAUAAACAUAUUGUUUCUUCCUUAGCCUUAUUAAUGCAGUAAGUUCCCAUUACUGAAUUUUAAAAUUGGAGCAUGUCUCACUUGGUUACGUGUAUUUUUCUUUGGUUGGGUCUUAUUUGCUAAUAGCUUGCUGAGAAAACUUCAGGUUUGUAGGUGCGAGGGAGGGAAGGGGGGAGGGAGAGAAAGAGAGAGGGAGGAAGGGAGAGGACAAGGCAGUAAAGGAGCUAGACAAAGAAAGAACCAGAGCCCUGGGCAGAACACUUGUAUAGCAGGAGUGGCCCAGGAAACUGAGGACUGUAUGAGGCAUGAGGAAGGGAACGAGCUAGUCAGUCCAUUUGCCACAACAAGGUGUCUGUCUCAGCGUGUUGAGGAAUUCUGUGUUCCCAAGAGAUUGCACUUGUUUCUUUAAACAUCGGGAAUAAUUCUCUUGUGAAAUAUUCUGUGCCUAGAUUUCUUUUUUCCCAGAAAAUUUUAAGCUGUUGAUCCAAUUUCUUUGGUUGUGGGAACAUUCAGGCCGCCUAUUUCAAUUUAAAUGGGUUUCAAUAGCAUGUGGUUUUCAAAGAAUUCGUGUGUGUGCAAAAGGGUUACUAGAUGUGUGUACCUAGGGCUGUUUCUAACACUCACUUAGGAACUUCACUUGUCUGUAGGGUCUGUAGGCUGGAUUUCCCUUCAUGGCUUUUAUUUUCUUCUGCUUUGGUUUGUUUAUGCCCCACACUUGUUUCCUUGUGUUUCUGAUGUUGAUACUUUGUGUCCUUCUCAAUUCUUUCUCCAUUCUUACUGGGGGGUAGGUGAUCAUGUUUGUUUCUUUUUUUUUAACAUUUUAAAAUUUUUUAAUUGGUUAUUUUCUUGAUUUACAUUUCAAAUGAUAUCCUCUUUCCUAGUUAAACACCCUAUCUUGUCCCCCCCACCCCCCAUCUCCCCUGCUUCUAUGAGGGUGCUCCCAGAAUCACCCAACCCCUUAUCACCCUAGCAUUCCCCUACACUGGUGCUUUAAGCCUCCACAGGCCUGCCCUCCCAUUGUUGCCAGACAAUGCCAUCCUCUGUUACAUAAGCAGCUGGAGCCCUGGGUCCCUUCAUGUGUACUCUUUGGUUGGUGGUUUAGUCUCAAGGAGCUUUGGGGGGGGGGUCUGGUUGGUCAAGUUUACUUCUUUUUUCCCUGUCUAAAGGAUUGCCUUUUUUUGUUUCAUUAACUCUCACUGUUAUUUGGUUUCAAAACUUCCUUUCUGCUCUAUUCUUCACUAUUUUCUCCCUUCCUUCUUGUUCUGGGUUUACUUUUCUUCUUCCUUAGCUUGUUCCCAAAUUGGAAGCUAACAUUAUUGAUUUGAGACAUUUCUACCUUGAUAACAUAAAUAUUUGAUGCUGUAAAUAUCCCAGCUUUGCUUAUGUUAAGAUCUGACUCUCAGAGGACAUGCUUCCAGAAGGUCAAACAAUGCUUCUAUUGAAAUAAAAUCUAAGUUUGCCACA